rnacentral:rRNA from 1 species
UACGUAGGGUCCGAGCGUUGUCCGGAAUUAUUGGGCGUAAAGGGCUCGUAGGCGGUUUGUCACGUCGGGAGUGAAAACACGGGGCUUAACCCCGUGCCUGCUUCCGAUACGGGCAGACUAGAGGUAUGCAGGGGAGACUGGAAUUCCUGGUGUAGCGGUGAAAUGCGCAGAUAUCAGGAGGAACACCGAUGGCGAAGGCAGGUCUCUGGGCAUUAACUGACGCUGAGGAGCGAAAGCAUGGGGAGCGAACAGG